rnacentral:tRNA from 1 species
GGGGAGGUUCCCGAGUGGCCAAAGGGGGCAGACUGUAAAUCUGUUGGCUCAGCCUUCGAAGGUUCGAAUCCUUCUCUCCCCA